rnacentral:RNase_P_RNA from 1 species
CGAGCCGGCCGGGCGGCCGCGGUGUCGGACUUCAUGUCUGGCGCUGAGGAAAGUCCGGGCUCCACAGGGCGCGGUGGUGGCUAACAGCCACCCGGGGUGACCCGCGGGACAGUGCCACAGAAAAUAAACCGCCGGCAGUAAUGCCGGUAAGGGUGAAACGGUGGUGUAAGAGACCACCAGCGCAUCGGGUGACCGAUACGGCUCGGUAAACCCCACUGGGAGCAAGGCCAAAAGGGGGCUUCGGCCCCUGCGCGAGCACUUGAGAACGGCCCGUUCGAGCUCGCGGGUAGGCCGCAUCAGGCCAUCGGCAACGGUGGUCGCAGAGAGAUGGUCGCCCCCUCCGGCCUCGGCCGGAGGGACAGAACCCGGCUUAUAGGCCGACUCGCCCG